UACGGAGGGGGCUAGCGUUGUUCGGAAUUACUGGGCGUAAAGCGCGCGUAGGCGGCUUUGUAAGUCAGAGGUGAAAUCCCGGGGCUCAACUCCGGAACUGCCUUUGAAACUGCAUCGCUUGAAUCCGGGAGAGGUGAGUGGAAUUCCGAGUGUAGAGGAGAAAUUCGUAGAUAUUCGGAAGAACACCAGUGGCGAAGGCGGCUCACUGGACCGGCAUUGACGCUGAGGUGCGAAAGCGUGGGGAGCAAACAGG
rnacentral:rRNA from 1 species